ensembl:lncRNA
AAACUGACCUAUUUUGGAGUCAUCACUCCCUUUGGAGUUGCUCUCCAGUUCAUUGAUCUUGGCAUCCAGUUGUCUCUGUAGAACUAGACAGAACAAUAGUAAAAUGAUUUGCGGGCACCAGGCUUUUGGGAAAGGAAGAAGCUGGCUCAGUAGGUCUAAAAGACAAAUAAACAUCCUUCAUGAAGAACCAGUAAGAAAUAUGGAGAAGUAAGACUUACGAAACCAUUCUUUCCAACUGUGACCCUUGAUUGACAUCAAAAGGCUGGUGGUGGCUGGUCCCCUGCAAGAAGGUGAGGUGCCUGAGGUCCCUCCACUACCCUCUGGACAUCGAGGGGUCCCCGGCGUACACGGUUCGUGGCAUUCUGGAUUCGAGACGCCGGGUGGGCGGCCUACAGUACCUCGUGGACUGGGAGGGGUACGGUCCGGAGGAGAGAUGCUGGGUUCCGGUGGGGGACAUUUUGGACCCUUCUCUCCUGAGAGAUUUCCACCGCCUCCACCCGGCGCCUCGUCCUCCGGGUCGUCCUCGAGGCCGGUGGCGGCACGCUGCGGGAGCCGCACGUCGGGGGGGGGGUACUGUCACGACUUCCGCCGAAGUUGCCUCCCCUGCCUGUUCGGACGGUGCUCGGCGGUCGUCGUCACCGUCCUACUAGCCGCUACCGAUCCCUUUUUCGUUUGUCUGUUGGUUUUGUCUUAUUAGUUUCACCUGUGUGUAUUUUGGUUUAAUUAGCUUCCCUAUAUGUAGUAGUUUGACCUGCCCUUGUUGUGUGCGGGAUUGUUUUUUGUUACUCUGUUGGUUGUGGUUUCAUGUUUGUAUUCUCUGGACUGUUUGGCCCUGUGUUUGGGCUGGUCUGUUUUAUGUGCCCUGUAUGUUGGCGUGACCGUUUUUUGCCGGAGAAUAAAUUAGGAUUUACCGAACCCUGC